UACGGAGGGUGCAAGCGUUGUCCGGAUUUAUUGGGUUUAAAGGGUGCGUAGGCGGCCAUUUAAGUCUGGGGUGAAAGCCCGUUGCUCAACAACGGAACUGCCCUGGAAACUGGAUGGCUUGAGUACAGACGAGGGUGGCGGAAUGGAUGCUGUAGCGGUGAAAUGCAUAGAUAGCAUCCAGAACCCCCGAUUGCGAAGCAGCUGCC
rnacentral:rRNA from 1 species